rnacentral:rRNA from 1 species
GAAACCGAGUCUUAAUUGGGCGUUAAGUUGCAGGGUAUAGACCCGAAACCCGGUGAUCUAGCCAUGGGCAGGUUGAAGGUUGGGUAACACUAACUGGAGGACCGAACCGACUAAUGUUGAAAAAUUAGCGGAUGACCUGUGGCUGGGGGUGAAAGGCCAAUCAAACCGGGAGAUAGCUGGUUCUCCCCGAAAGCUAUUUAGGUAGCGCCUCGUGAAUUCAUCUCCGGGGGUAGAGCACUGUUUCGGCUAGGGGGCCAUCCCGGCUUACCAACCCGAUGCAAACUGCGAAUACCGGAGAAUGUUAUCACGGGAGACACACGGCGGGUGCUAACGUCCGUCGUGAAGAGGGAAACAACCCAGACCGCCAGCUAAGGUCCCAAAGUCAUGGUUAAGUGGGAAACGAUGUGGGAAGGCCCAGACAGCCAGGAUGUUGGCUUAGAAGCAGCCAUCAUUUAAAGAAAGCGUAAUAGCUCACUGGUCGAGUCGGCCUGCGCGGAAGAUGUAACGGGGCUAAACCAUGCACCGAAGCUGCGGCAGCGACGCUUAUGCGU